rnacentral:rRNA from 1 species
AUUGAACGCUGGCGGUAUGCUUAACACAUGCAAGUCGAACGGCAGCAUGGAGGAACUUGUUUCUCUGAUGGCGAGUGGCGGACGGGUGAGUAAUACAUAGGAAUCUGCCUUAUAGUUUGGGAUAACUACUCGAAAGAGUGGCUAAUACCGGAUGUGGACUACGGUUUAAAGCAGGGGAUCUUCGGACCUUGCGCUAUAAGAUGAGCCUAUGCAAGAUUAGCUAGUUGGUGGGGUAAAGGCUCACCAAGGCAACGAUCUUUAGCUGGUCUGAGAGGAUGAUCAGCCACACUGGGACUGAGACACGGCCCAGACUCCUACGGGAGGCAGCAGUGGGGAAUAUUGGACAAUGGGCGGAAGCCUGAUCCGGCAAUACCGCGUGUGUGAAGAAGGCCUUCGGGUUGUAAG